rnacentral:rRNA from 1 species
UACGUAGGUGACCAGCGUUGUCCGGAUUUACUGGGCGUAAAGAGCGCGCAGGCGGUCGUUCAAGUCGAGUGUGAAAGCCCCCGGCUCAACUGGGGAGGGUCAUUCGAUACUGAUCGACUUGAAGGCAGGAGAGGGAAGUGGAAUUCCCGGUGUAGUGGUGAAAUGCGUAGAUAUCGGGAGGAACACCAGUGGCGAAGGCGACUUCCUGGCCUGACCUUGACGCUGAGGCGCGAAAAGCUAGGGGAGCAAACGGG